UACGGAGGGUGCAAGCGUUGUUCGGAUUUAUUGGGCGUAAAGGGCGUGCAGGCGGUUUCGCAAGUCCGAUGUGAAAGCCCCGGGCUCAACCCGGGAAGUGCAUCGGAAACCGCGAGACUUGAGUACGGGAGAGGGCAGUGGAAUUCCUGGAGUAGGGGUGAAAUCCGUAGAUAUUGGGAGGAACACCAGUGGCGAAGGCGGCUCACUGGACCGGUUCUGACGCUGAGGCGCGAAAGCGUGGGGAGCAAACGGGG
rnacentral:rRNA from 1 species